AGAGUUUGAUCCUGGCUCAGAUUGAACGCUGGCGGUAUGCCUUACACAUGCAAGUCGAACGGUAGAGGAGCAAUCCUCGAGAGUGGCGAACGGGUGAGUAAUACAUCGGAACGUGCCCAGUCGUGGGGGAUAACGUAGCGAAAGCUACGCUAAUACCGCCUACGACCCGAGGGUGAAAGCGGGGGACUCGCAAGAGCCUCGCGCGAUUGGAGCGGCCGAUGGCAGAUUAGGUAGUUGGUGGGGUAAAGGCCCACCAAGCCUGCGAUCUGUAGCUGGUCUGAGAGGACGACCAGCCACACUGGGACUGAGACACGGCCCAGACUCCUACGGGAGGCAGCAGUGGGGAAUUUUGGACAAUGGGCGAAAGCCUGAUCCAGCCAUACCGCGUGCGGGAAGAAGGCCUUCGGGUUGUAAACCGCUUUUGUCAGGGAAGAAAUACUUCGGGCUAAUACCCUGGGGUGAUGACGGUACCUGAAGAAUAAGCACCGGCUAACUACGUGCCAGCAGCCGCGGUAAUACGUAGGGUGCAAGCGUUAAUCGGAAUUACUGGGCGUAAAGCGUGCGCAGGCGGUUCUAUAAGACAGAUGUGAAAUCCCCGGGCUCAACCUGNGAACUGCAUUUGUGACUGUAGAGCUAGAGUA
rnacentral:rRNA from 1 species